UUUUAAACUCCUUUUUUGUACUGUACAUUGAUGUAAACAGACGAGCUACGGAAAAAGCUUUCUGAUUUCUGACCAACGCAGGCCUCCUCUCCCUUUCCAUGGAGAGUUUCCUUCUUCUCCUUAAAGUCCAAGAUCGUCUAUAAAUUGAAAAUGACGGAACUAAGGUCACCUACCACUACCAGUGCCUGCAAUCUCCGCCCCUAAGUCGACGCAUAAACGCCGUUUUCCUUCGUGGUGGCUUCGAAAAGAACGCGGUCCUUCAAGGUAACCAUGCUUGCAGAGUCCUCCGUAACUAUUAUCAUUUCCUGGGUUAAUUUCUAUUUUUCGAAAUUUAUCACUUCAAUAAACUUUCAUCUUGUUUUCAUAUCUGUUUUAUAUAUCCUCUGAAUUUUUGACACUGUACAUUGAUGCCAAAGAAGAUUGAAAGUAUAUGUCUUUUCACGUGUAUGUAUGCCAGAUAUUUUGCUCAUUUUUACGCAGUUAGCGCUCUUGAUGAUUAUGUUUGCUUUUCCGAAUGUUCCAUAGACUAAGUUGGUUUAUUUAUUUGAUAAUAAUGUUGUAGGUCGUGCGGCUUGCGGCUUCAUUAUUUGUUUUCGAGUUAGUCUCUGUUUUAUCUUUAUGUUUGGGUGACAAAUGGAUGAGCUUUAUUAAAUAUCUUCAUUCUCGUUGAAGCUAAUACGGGCCUUUGUAGAUUUGGAAACGAUUCUCUUUUGCCUUUCGUAGCAUUUGGAAUUAGUGUAUUCCAUUUGCUCUAGCCUUUUUUUAGUUGAUUCUCUCCGUUAUCUGUCGCCCUUUGAGACAGAUAGGAUUACAGUGUGGCACUAGAAUCUUUGAACUUAUUUUGUUGUGAGCAAAAGGUAGGAGUUACACUUGAAUUUAAUGUGGUCCAUUAAUGUUCAUAGGCAAAUGUCUUUUCUUUUGUUUAAAUUUGAUUUUAUUAUUAAGUAUUAUCUGUUUGAUAAGCCUGUCAUCCAUACGUGUUUGUAAAGGUUCUAUAACUAGUUUUUUCCGGGAAUAUUUGCAGCGCAGUGCAGUCUCAUUAUGACUUGACUCCACCUUAGUGAUUAUCUGAUAAUAUUUUCCGUAAUGUAUCUUUCAAGUUAGGAACUCUAUCACUUUCAACAUAUUACCAUUAUUAUAAUCUACAUAAUUUACACUUUUAGGUCCAAGGCGCAAUGUUUUGUCAAGCAUUAUACCUUCAUAAUUGACAGCAGCCUUUCAUUAUUACCUUCACAGUUACUUUCCCCCCCUCUUUUCCACCCUAUCAUAUCAAUAUUCUGUAUGUAAGAAGAUCCACUCACUGUCUCUGGUUAAAAAAAAAUGUGUAAAUAUUUGAUCAAAAUUGUCCAUAAUUCAUAUGCUAUUGCUAAAUGAAUGUUUCAUGGAGCAACAAUCUGACUGGUUGACUAUUGAAAAGGUCACAAGUGACCAUGGAUACUUCUUCCAAAAUUAUAUCACAUUCCGAUCUCUAUUUGCAUUUUCUUUUCAGAUUGGGAAGAAUAUUUUGUUCUUUGAUCAGUCAGAUUGGGCAAAAUCUUGUUUAUAUUCUGGUUUAUGGUUUAAAAGUGCUCUAAAGACGAAGUAAAAGUCUCCUACAAGUGUCAUCACUUUUGAGACUCAUAUAUACAUACAGAGACUUGUCAAAGCUGCUCUGUAAUUAAAACACUUCAAUACAAAAUUUGUUACAAGCCUAUAACAGCUUACUGCUCAGCCACCCAUUCACAUCACACGUACCAAGUAGUUUAAUCUUCACAUGAUGAGUUAGUACAGUGCUUAUGGCUUGUGCAAUCACAACCUGUAUUGUUGAUGUGCUUGAUGAACUAAAGAUUUUCAUUAUUAAUUGUUGAGUUGUGUUUCCCUUAUAAGUGAUUAUCUUUUAUGCAAUUUAAUCUUAUCCCCUGUAAGUGCAUCCACACCAAUCCCUUGAAAGUCCUUUUGUUGAUGGAUUUUUCAAAUUUAGUAAUCAGUGAUAACUACUUCAUAAAAAUUCACUAUUAAAUUUAAUGGAAGCAUAGAAAAAGAUGGUCAACAAAGGUCGACACAAAUCUGGAAAAACAGAUAAGUUAAUUGAAAAACAGACAAGUUUGCAUUAAUGGUUAUGGUUGUUGUUUUUAAGCAAAAAUGGUAGCUUGCAUAAUAUACUUUAGCUAUACUAGGCAAUAAUCCAUGUGCUUCUUUUGGAGAUUAGUCAAUUAAUGCAAACUACAUGAUUAUCAACUGAAAAAUGUAGCAAAAAAGAUCUACACAAAUCUUUGUUUGCAGCAAAGAAUUGCCCAGUAUAAACCUAUUCUAAAAUGUGUUAAGUUGUGCAAUAAUUUGUGAGGUGCUCUUACCUGUGGUGCUAGUUGGUGCGUUCCGAAAUGUUUGUCCCUUUUUGUCUUUAUAGCGUUACCGGCUAUGCUCCUCCCGCCUAACUCACCCUCCCCAGGUAUGGCCCAGUUUCAUUGCUGUUUAAAUUUUCAUUUCCUUAUCUAUUCUAAAUGCAUGCAAUUAUAUAUUGGUUGCUGUGGAAUUCUUGAUAUAAUAAGAGUGUAUUUGAUCCAACCUGCAAUAUCUUGUUGUUUGUAUUUAUUGUGUAUGUAUAUUUUACUUAUAUUAUGCAGAAUAUCUUGCAUAUAUGUAUUAUGUGCUUUCUUAGCUAUUCACAUGGAUGAUCUGGAAAAGACACACACUGACUGUGACCUAUGGGCGGAUGGGAUGGAGAACAUUUUCAUUGAGAUGCUGUAUGGGGAUGCCCUUACUGGAGCACUAAGGGCAGGGAAUAUCAGAUCUAGGGACCAUACAACAUAUGCUCAACGGCUUACAUCGGUGGGUAUAAGGGUAUAUGAUGGCAAUCAAGUGAAGAGCAAACUACAAAGGCUGAAGUCGAGGCAACGCCUUUUCAUUGACCUUAUGAGCCAAACAGGUAUGGCUUGGGACCCCGACAACAAAACGGUGAUAGCCAAUGACGAACACUGGGCAAAUGCCCUAAGGAGAUGCGACACUGGGGCCCUGUACCGGGCAAGCAACAUGGAUUGCCCAUUGACUUUGAUGAUGACAUGGAUUUCUUCAUGGGAUUUGAGACACCACCAUUCAUUGCGUUGGGGCAAAGCCAAUGUCGACAACAAAGGGUGAGGCCCUCCAUGCAAGUGGAUGCAGACAUGUCUAACUGCCUCAAUGAGUUAGCUCGUACUGAAAAAGCAAGGCGGAAGUACUAUGAGGAGAGGGGUGAGGGAACUUCUAACAAGCGUAACAAAGGCACAACUAGUUCCAACCACGAUGCCCAUCGGAAUCAGCACACGCAGAGUGUGCAGUUGCUGCAAGCACUUGAUCCUCCGUUGCCUGAUGAUGUAUUCCUUCGUGCUUUCGACAAAUUACUUGAUAUCCAUGUCCAGACAGGCUUCCUGGCAUUGUAUGAUCAACAUAAGAGGCUGUGGGCCAUGAAUUGUAUCUAGUAGGAGUUGGGGCUCCAAAAUUUUCCACCUGGAUGGUUUUAUUUAUGCUUAUUGCUAGUUUUUAUUAACUAUUAUUGAUUACGGAAUAUUUAUCUACGCCUGUUUUAACUUUGAUGUUGUUUUUGAUGCCAUGACAUGUACUUGUUUGUUUUGAUAUGUUUAUCUUUUGGACUGAUGACAUAGUUAAAUUUUGUUGGAUGA